AUUGAACGCUGGCGGAAUGCUUUACACAUGCAAGUCGAACGGCAGCACGGGGCAACCUGGUGGCGAGUGGCGAACGGGUGAGUAAUGUAUCGGAACGUACCAUUCAGUGGGGGAUAACGUAGCGAAAGUUACGCUAAUACCGCAUAUUCUGUGAGCAGGAAAGCAGGGGAUCGCAAGACCUUGCGCUGAUUGAGCGGCCGAUAUCAGAUUAGCUAGUUGGUGAGGUAAAGGCUCACCAAGGCGACGAUCUGUAGCGGGUCUGAGAGGAUGAUCCGCCACACUGGAACUGAGACACGGUCCAGACUCCUACGGGAGGCAGCAGUGGGGAAUUUUGGACAAUGGGGGCAACCCUGAUCCAGCCAUGCCGCGUGAGUGAAGAAGGCCUUCGGGUUGUAAAGCUCUUUCGGCCGGGAAAAAUCGACAUCAGUUAAUACCUGGUGUGGAUGAUGGUACCGGAAUAAGAAGACACCGGCUAACUACGUGCCAGCACG
rnacentral:rRNA from 1 species